rnacentral:ncRNA from 1 species
UACUCUGGAGAGUCCUUCCGCGGAACAUUUCAAGCGUUCCGUAUAGAAGGCGCCGAAGGUGUACGGCAGCUUAGCUGCCAAUCUCUCAGGCAAAAGGACAGAGCA